UGUAAGCGUAUACCAAAGUUGUUGCAGUUAAAACGCUCGUAGUCGGAAUUUGGCAGUUCCGGAAGUGUGCACGUCGUGUGCGCACUUUGCGGGGACUGCUUUUGUGGUCUUGCGUAGGAUGAGGCACUUUCAUUAGUGAACGUCCUCACGCAACCACUCUUUACUGUGAGAAAAUCAGAGUGCUUAAAGCAGGCAUUUGCCGUGAAUGUAUUAGCAUGGAAUAAUAGAAUAGGACUCGGUUCUAUUUUGUUGGUUUGUUGGGACUGAGUAAUGAUUAAGAGGGACAGUUGGGGGCAUUUGUAUUCCGGCGCUAGAGGUGAAAUUCUUAGAUUGCCGGAAGACAAACUGCUGCGAAAGCGUCUGCCAAGGAUGUUUUCAUUGA
rnacentral:rRNA from 1 species